rnacentral:rRNA from 1 species
CAGCUUGUUGGUGAGGUAAUGGCUCACCAAGGCGUCGACGGGUAGCCGGCCUGAGAGGGUGACCGGCCACACUGGGACUGAGACACGGCCCAGACUCCUACGGGAGGCAGCAGUGGGGAAUAUUGCACAAUGGGCGCAAGCCUGAUGCAGCAACGCCGCGUGAGGGACGACGGCCUUCGGGUUGUAAACCUCUUUUAGCAGGGAAGAAGCGAAAGUGACGGUACCUGCAGAAAAAGCACCGGCUAACUACGUGCCAGCAGCCGCGGUAAUACGUAGGGUGCAAGCGUUAUCCGGAAUUAUUGGGCGUAAAGAGCUCGUAGGCGGUUUGUCGCGUCUGCUGUGAAAUCUGGGGGCUCAACCCCCAGCCUGCAGUGGGUACGGGCAGACUAGAGUGCGGUAGGGGAGAUUGGAAUUCCUGGUGUAGCGGUGGAAUGCGCAGAUAUCAGGAGGAACACCGAUGGCGAAGGCAGAUCUCUGGGCCGUAACUGACGCUGAGGAGCGAAAGGGUGGGGAGCAAACAGGCUUAGAUACCCUGGUAGUCCACCCCGU